UACGUAGGGUCCAAGCGUUAAUCGGAAUUACUGGGCGUAAAGCGUGCGCAGGCGGUUCGUUAAGUCAGCUGUGAAAGCCCCGGGCUCAACCUGGGAAUUGCGGUUGAAACUGGCGAACUAGAAUCUGGCAGAGGGGGGUGGAAUUCCACGUGUAGCAGUGAAAUGCGUAGAGAUGUGGAGGAACACCAGUGGCGAAGGCGACUCUCUGGUCUGUAACUGACGCUGAGGCGCGAAAGCGUGGGGAGCAAACAGG
rnacentral:rRNA from 1 species